rnacentral:misc_RNA from 1 species
AAGUCGUAACAAGGUUUCCGUAGGUGAACCUGCGGAAGGAUCAUUAACACGUUUCACAACGUAUCAACCAAACCGCGAACUAUGAACGUCUUUUUUAUUCAUGUUUUGGAAGGGGUGUUGGCCGGACGGACAUGGCUGUCAUGGCUAUGUUGAACAGCAAGCCGCGUGGUACUACUCCCUUUCGGGGGAGCUUGUGGUGCGCGCGCUACUGUGUACGACCAGCCACUCUCCCUUCUUUGAACAUGUCUUAUUCAACCCAAACCCAUUUGUUUAUUCAUUUAUUCUUAAAGAUACGCCCUUGUGGUGAGUCUUUAAUACAAACUUGUACAACUCUUAGCAACGGAUAUCUUGGUUUCC